rnacentral:rRNA from 1 species
AGAAAGUGGCUUCGGCCAUGAGUAAAGCGGCGAACGGGUGAGUAACACGUGGAUAAUCUACCUGCGAGCGGGGGAUAACCUGGGGAAACCCGGACUAAUACCGCAUACGCUCCGAGAGCUUCGGCUCGAUGAGGAAAGCUGGCCUCUGCUUGCAAGCCAGCACUCGCAGAUGAGUCCGCGGCUGAUUAGCUUGUUGGUGGGGUAAUGGCCUACCAAGGCGACGAUCAGUAGCCGGCCUGAGAGGGCGAUCGGCCACACUGGAACUGAGACACGGUCCAGACUCCUACGGGAGGCAGCAGUGGGGAAUAUUGGACAAUGGGGGCAACCCUGAUCCAGCAACGCCGCGUGGAGGACGAAGGCUUUCGGGUCGUAAACUCCUGUCAGGUGGGAAGAAAUGGCGUCGGUGAAUAUCCGGCGUCUUUGACGGUACCACCAGAGGAAGCCCCGGCUAACUCCGUGCCAGCAGCCGCGGUAAUACGGAGGGGGCUAGCGUUAUUCGGAAUUACUGGGCGUAAAGGGCGUGUAGGCGGCUUGGCAAGUCAAAGGUGAAAGCCCUCGGCUCAACCGAGGAACUGCCUUUGAAACUGCCUCGCUAGAGACCGGGAGGGGGUGGCGGAAUUCCUGGUGUAGCGGUGAAAUG